rnacentral:rRNA from 1 species
CAGCACGGGGAGCUUGCUCCCUGGUGGCGAGCGGCGGACGGGUGAGUAAUGCAUAGGAAUCUGCCCGGUAGUGGGGGAUAACGUGGGGAAACCCACGCUAAUACCGCAUACGUCCUACGGGAGAAAGCGGAGGAUCUUCGGACUUCGCGCUAUCGGAUGAGCCUAUGUCGGAUUAGCUAGUUGGUAAGGUAACGGCUUACCAAGGCGACGAUCCGUAGCUGGUCUGAGAGGAUGAUCAGCCACACUGGGACUGAGACACGGCCCAGACUCCUACGGGAGGCAGCAGUGGGGAAUAUUGGACAAUGGGCGAAAGCCUGAUCCAGCCAUGCCGCGUGUGUGAAGAAGGCUUUCGGGUUGUAAAGCACUUUCAGCGAGGAAGAAAGCCUCUGGGUUAAUACCCCAGAGGAAGGACAUCACUCGCAGAAGAAGCACCGGCUAACUCCGUGCCAGCAGCCGCGGUAAUACGGAGGGUGCGAGCGUUAAUCGGAAUUACUGGGCGUAAAGCGCGCGUAGGUGGCUUGGCACGCCGGUUGUGAAAGCCCCGGGCUCAACCUGGGAACGGCAUCCGGAACGGCCAGGCUAGAGUGCAGGAGAGGAAGGUAGAAUUCCCGGUGUAGCGGUGAAAUGCGUAGAGAUCGGGAGGAAUACCAGUGGCGAAGGCGGCCUUCUGGCCUGACACUGACACUGAGGUGCGAAAGCGUGAGUAGCAAACAGGAUUAGAUACCCUGGUAGUCCACGCCGUAAACGAUG